AUUUAUAUAGUUUAAGAAAACAUUACAUUUUCACUGUAAAAAUAAAGCCCAGCUUUUAUAAAUA
rnacentral:tRNA from 1 species